GAGUGGCGGACGGGUGAGUAAUGCAUAGGAAUCUACCCAGUAGUGGGGGAUAACGUGAAGAAAUUCACGCUAAUACCGCAUAUGUCCUACGGGACAAAGCAGGGGACCUUCGGGCCUUGCGCUAUUGGAUGAGCCUAUGUCGGAUUAGCUUGUUGGUGGGGUAAAAGCCUACCAAGGCAACGAUCCGUAGCUGGUCUGAGAGGAUGAUCAGCCACACUGGGACUGAGACACGGCCCAGACUCC
rnacentral:rRNA from 1 species